rnacentral:rRNA from 1 species
GAUGAACGCUGGCGGCGUGCUUAACACAUGCAAGUCGAACGGAAAGGCCCAAGCUUGCUUGGGUACUCGAGUGGCGAACGGGUGAGUAACACGUGGGUGAUCUGCCCUGCACUUCGGGAUAAGCCUGGGAAACUGGGUCUAAUACCGGAUAGGACCACUUCUUGGAUGUUGUGGUGGAAAGUUUUUUCGGUGUGGGAUGAGCUCGCGGCCUAUCAGCUUGUUGGUGGGGUAAUGGCCUACCAAGGCGUCGACGGGUAGCCGGCCUGAGAGGGUGUACGGCCACAUUGGGACUGAGAUACGGCCCAGACUCCUACGGGAGGCAGCAGUGGGGAAUAUUGCACAAUGGGCGCAAGCCUGAUGCAGCGACGCCGCGUGGGGGAUGACGGCCUUCGGGUUGUAAACUCCUUUCGCUAGGGACGAAGCGUUUUUGUGACGGUACCUGGAGAAGAAGCACCGGCUAACUACGUGCCAGCAGCCGCGGUAAUACGUAGGGUGCGAGCGUUGUCCGGAAUUACUGGGCGUAAAGAGCUCGUAGGUGGUUUGUCGCGUCGUUUGUGUAAGCCCGCAGCUUAACUGCGGGACUGCAGGCGAUACGGGCAUAACUUGAGUGCUGUAGGGGAGACUGGAAUUCCUGGUGUAGCGGUGGAAUGCGCAGACAUCAGGAGGAACACCGAUGGCGAAGGCAGGUCUCUGGGCAGUAACUGACGCUGAGGAGCGAAAGCAUGGGUAGCGAACAGG